AUAUAUAGGAGUCUCCCUAACAACAAGUAGUAAUGCUAUUCCUUUACCCUGCUUGGUCAUAGCACGGUAGUGGGAGCUGCCAGUUUCACAUGUUUUAACUCUGUCAGAGCACUUUGAAAAAGUGGUCUGUGGUAUCUGGCUCUCGAGAUUCGGAGAACGAUGCCUCUUCGAUUUUUGAGAAAGCAAUCAUGAUGGGGGUAUGACUCUCGAGAUUCGGAGAGCAGUGUCUCUUCGAUUUUUGAGGAAGUAAUCAUGUUGGGAGUCUGGCUCUCGAGAUUCGGAGGACGGUGCCUCUUCGAUUUUGGAGCAAGCAAUCUUGUUGGGAGUGUUGUCUCGAAUGUGAGUAAAGGUUGGGCAUGUUUGCUAGUCUACCUUGCCACGAAGCACAAAGGUUGACACACAGGGACUUUCCAAUUAUCCAGCAAUGGUACUGUUCCUUUACCCUCUCUUCGAUUUUGAGAAAGUAGUCAUGUUGGGAGUCUGGCUCUCGAGAUUCGGAGGACGG
rnacentral:lncRNA from 1 species